rnacentral:rRNA from 1 species
AUUGAACGCUGGCGGCAGGCCUAACACAUGCAAGUCGAGCGAGCGGCGGACGGGGGAGUAAUGUAGGGGGAUCUGCCAGAUAGAGGGGGAUAACUACUGGAAACGGUGGCUAAUACCGCAUACUAGCGGAUGAACGCAGAUGGGAUUAGCUAGUAGGGGGGGGAAAGGCUAACCAAGGCGACGAGCCAUGGCUGAUCUGAGAGGAUGAUCAGCCACACUGGGACGGAGACACGGCCCAGACUCCUACGGGAGGCAGCAGUAGGGAAUAUUGCACAAUGGGCGCAAGCCUGAUGCAGCCAUGCCGCGUGUGUGAAGAAGGCCUUCGGGUUGUAAAGUACUGUCAUCGGGGAAGCGUUACCCGCUGAAGAAGCAACGGCUAACUCCGUGCCAGCAGCCGCGGUAAUUC